rnacentral:misc_RNA from 1 species
GGCUUUCCGCCGUUCUACGGUGAAACGGCAGAGGAGAUUUUUGAUGCGGUUUUGAGAGGGAACUUGAGGUUUCCUGUUAGAGCUUUCCACGGCGUGUCGUCGGCUGUUAAAGAUCUGCUAAGGAGGAUGCUUUGUAGAGAUGUUUCCAAGAGGCUCUCCGCCGAACAAGUUUUAAGGCAUCCAUGGAUAACAAAUGGAGGAGGAUGAAGAGUGCAGAACAAGAAGCUCAAGCUCCUAGCUUAGAAUACAUAUGCUUGUAUAGUAGACGGAAUGGCAUCCGUAUGCACAGAGUGUGUGUCCAAAUAGUUUUUUAAUUUUAGGAAUAUGCUUGUUGAUUUGGUAGAAGAAGAGAAGAAGCAAGAUUUUGUACAAAUGAGGUGUUU